UGGGGAAUAUUGGACAAUGGGCGGAAGCCUGAUCCAGCAACGCCGCGUGAGGGAUGACGGCCUUCGGGUUGUAAACCUCUUUCAGUACCGACGAAGCGAAAGGUGACGGUAGGUACAGAAGAAGGACCGGCCAACUACGUGCCAGCAGCCGCGGUAAUACGUAGGGUCCGAGCGUUGUCCGGAAUUAUUGGGCGUAAAGGGCUCGUAGGCGGUUUGUCGCGUCGGGAGUGAAAACAGCGGGCUUAACUCGUUGCUUGCUUUCGAUACGGGCAAGACUAGAGGUAUGCAGGGGAGAAUGGAAUUCCUGGUGUAGCGGUGAAAUGCGCAGAUAUCAGGAGGAACACCGGUGGCGAAGGCGGUUCUCUGGGCAUUACCUGACGCUGAGGAGNGAAAGUGUGGGGGAGCGAACAGGAUUAGAUCCCUGUAGUCCACACC
rnacentral:rRNA from 1 species